GAUGAAGAACGCAGCGAAAUGCGAUAAGUAAUGUGAAUUGCAGAAUUCAGUGAAUCAUCGAAUCUUUGAACGCAUCUUGCGCUCCUUGGUAUUCCUUGGAGCAUGCCUGUUUGAGUAUCAUGAGCAAAUCUCAAAGUCAAUUCCUUUUGUUAAUUCAAUUGGUUUUGCUUUGGACUUGGAGGUCUUGCAGAUUUUCACAGUCUGCUCCUCUUAAAUGCAUUAGCUGGAUCUCAGUAAUUAUGCUUGGUUCCACUCGGCGUGAUAAGUAUCACUCGCUGAGGACACUGUUAAAAAGGUGGCCAGGAAAAUACUGAUUGAACCGCUUCUAACGGUCUAUUAAGUUAGACAAUUACCCUUAAGUUUGAUCUCAAAUCAGGUAGGACUACCCGCUGAACUUAAGCAUAUCAAAGCGGAGGA
rnacentral:misc_RNA from 1 species